GGAUAGUUUCGUAAGUCGACGGUAGAAGGAUCGGUGGCAGUCGCGCGCCGGCCGCUGCCUCGAUAGGGUGUUUGUAUUUACGUCGCCGCGAUGAAAAUUUGGCCGCCAUAGAGGUUAUGUUUACGCGUGCCGCGGUAACCAAAUCAACGACGCAUGCCCUUCUGCGUCCAUCUUUUCGAAAAUCCUUCACCGAUCGCCACGUGCCUGUCGAGAAAUCCAUUGACUUCCUACGACAUCGCGUCCCUUGGUGCACGGAGCAUCUUGACAACUCUUGAUAUAUCCAGACUUUCGUAAAUGCGCAGGAGCGUGGUGUGUGCCGGCCCUCGGACGUGAUUUGGUGGUGGUGUGCGUGUAAAGGGCCAACGAGUGAGGCCGCAACGGUGAGCAUUCGAGAUGAGCUAUGAAUUUAGGCUGCCUGGUAGCCAUCGUCUUUGUGCAUCAGCUGCUGUCCGACGCCACAGCGCUACCCUCAGUCGUCAAGAUUGGUGCUAUAUUCACUCAUGACCAAAAGGAUAGCAGUACGGAGUUGGCCUUCAAGUAUGCCGUGUACAAGAUCAACAAGGAGAGGCUCAUACUGCCGAAAACCACGCUGGAAUACGACAUACAAUACGUGCCAAAAGAUGACUCGUUUCACGCGUCGAAGAAGGCGUGUCAACAGGUCAAAUACGGCGUGCAGGCGGUAUUCGGGCCAUCGGAUCCCAUUCUGGGGCAACACAUCCACAGCAUCUGCGACGCACUGGAUAUUCCACAUUUGGAAGCCAGGCUGGACCUGGACACAGAGGCGAAAGAGUUCAGCAUCAAUCUCUAUCCCGCACAAAGUUUGCUCAACGCCGCUUAUCAGGAUAUCAUGGAGUUUCUCAACUGGACCAAGGUCGCCAUUAUCUACGAGGACGAUUAUGGACUGGUGAAGCUGCGAGAACUGGUCAGGUCGCCGAAGUCUCAGGAGAUGGAGGUUAACCUGAGGCAGGCAGAUCCAGAUUCCUACAGGCAGGUUCUAUCCGAGAUGAAAAGCAAGGAAAUACGAAAUCUCAUCGUGGAUACGAGGCCAGAGCAUAUGCAUCAUUUUCUACGAAUGAUAUUGCAGCUGCAAAUGAACGACUACAAGUACCACUAUCUCUUCACAACUUUCGAUAUCGAGACCUUCGACCUCGAGGACUUCAAGUACAAUUUCGUCAAUAUCACUGCCUUCCGUCUGGUCGACGCGGAGGACGUCGGUGUGCGGGGUAUCCUGAGGGACAUGGAGCGAUAUCAACCGUCCGGGAAUACGAUUCUCAACAAAUCGAGAGUUAUACAGGCGGAGCCGGCGCUCAUGUACGACAGCGUGCAGGUGUUCGCCAUUGGAUUGAGGACCUUGGAACAGUCGCACGCGCUCAGGCCUGCCAACAUCUCCUGCGAGAUGGAACACCCCUGGGAUGGAGGUUUGUCCCUCAUAAACUACAUCAACUCGGUCGAGAUGAAGGGUAUUUCUGGCCCUAUCGAAUUCAAAGAAGGGCGGAGAAUUCAGUUCAAAUUGGACCUUUUGAAGUUGAAACAACAUUCGCUUGUUAAGGUCGGUGAAUGGCGUCCAGGCAUCGGUGUGAACGUGACCGACACCGCGGCUUUCUUCGAGCCAGGAGCAGCGAAUGUCACCCUUCUCGUCAUCACUAUAUUGGAAAUUCCGUACGUGAUGAUGCACUACGAAAAAAACUACACGGGGAACGCGCGGUUUUACGGUUUUUGCGUCGACCUACUGGAGGCGGUGGCGAGGGAGGUCGGCUUCUCAUACAGAUUGGAGCUGGUACCGGACAGGAAGUACGGCGCGAAAGAUCCGGAAACCGGGGAAUGGAACGGCAUCGUCAGAGAGCUCAUGCGACAUGAGCAGCCAUACGUUAUGGUGAAGAACAGAGGGAAUUUCAGCGGGAACGCACGUUACGAGGGCUUCUGCAUCGAUCUGCUCAAGGAGAUAGCUCACAUGGUGGGCUUCGGCUACAGGAUCGAGCUCGUUCCGGAUGGCAAGUACGGCGUUUACAAUUACGAGACCGGCGAGUGGAACGGAAUAGUGCGCCAGCUGAUGGACAAGAAAGCAGAUUUGGCUGUUGGCUCGAUGACCAUUAAUUACGCCCGUGAAAGCGUGAUCGACUUCACAAAACCGUUCAUGAAUCUUGGCAUAUCGAUACUUUUCAAGGUACCUACCAGCCACCCAGCACGACUGUUCUCUUUCAUGAACCCUCUCGCCAUUCAAAUCUGGCUAUAUGUGCUCGCCGCGUACGUCCUCGUCUCGGUGAUGAUGUUCGUGGUCGCGAGGAUCAGCCCCUACGAAUGGAACAACCCUCAUCCCUGUCACGCAGGCUCCGAAAUGGUCGAGAAUCAAUUCUCGUUGGCCAACAGCUUUUGGUUCACCAUUGGCACCCUGAUGCAGCAAGGUAGCGAUUUGAAUCCCAAGGCAACGAGCACGCGAAUCGUGGGCGGCAUAUGGUGGUUUUUCACCUUGAUCAUCAUAUCCUCGUACACGGCCAACCUGGCGGCGUUUCUUACCGUGGAAAGGAUGAUAACUCCUAUCGAAAAUGCGGAGGAUCUCGCCAGUCAAACAGACAUCGCUUAUGGCACCCUGGAUAGCGGAAGUACCAUGACCUUUUUCAGGGAUUCGAUGAUCGAGACGUACAAGAAGAUGUGGCGAUUCAUGGAGAAUAAGAAGCCAUCAGUAUUCGUGCCUACUUACGAGGAAGGGAUCCAGAGGGUUCUUCAAGGUGAUUACGCUUUCUUAAUGGAAUCCACUAUGCUGGAUUACAUCGUGCAAAGGGAUUGCAAUCUAACGCAAAUCGGUGGACUUCUGGAUAGCAAAGGAUAUGGGAUUGCCACGCCUAUGGGUUCUCCUUGGCGUGACAAGAUAUCUCUGGCGAUUCUAGAACUCCAAGAGAAGGGAGAGAUUCAGAUGUUGUAUGACAAAUGGUGGAAGAGUCCCGGUGACACUUGCAUGAGAACGGAGAAAGGGAAGGAGAGCAAAGCGAAUUCCUUGGGAGUAGACAAUAUAGGCGGAGUAUUCGUUGUACUGCUGUGCGGACUGGCGUUCGCCGUGGUGAUCGCAAUUUUCGAGUUCUGCUAUAAUACCAGAAGGUCGCCGCCAGAACAGGCAUUGCCACCAUCAGCUUAGGAUUGCAUGUAUUUUUGUCACUUUUGUGUUCCAUUUUGUGGCCCACCGUGGAUUUUUCCGCGAAGCAGCAUGAACUCAUCCUUCAUUGAAGCAUGCCAACCAACUGCGAAUGCACGAAGCUCAGUUGACAACCAAGAGAGCUCCAGUAUCGAUACCAAUCUGUUCGGAUUCUCUGCAAGGAAUCUCGCAAUCCGUACAACAACAGACGCAGCAACAGUCGCAACA
rnacentral:misc_RNA from 1 species